UGCAAAGCUCACUUCUCCCACCUUUUUAGAGCAGCCUGCUUCGUGGGGUAUGAGUAGUUGAAGUCACCGUUGGAGCUGUAACUGCUGCUGUCCUCAUCCGGGGAGAUGUUGAACCUUCCCAUUUCGGUCUUCUUCAUGCUGAUCCGGAGGAACGGUGUUCAGCGCGCGGCGCGAGCUUCCUUUUGUCCUUGGCGGCGCACUGGCCCUCGAGGCUGCCUGCGAAGGUAGAAGGCGGCGCGUCAGGACUGCGGCGCCCGCCCGCCCCCGACCACGUGACGCCGCCGGGCGGCGCAGCGCGGCUGAUUCAUCCCCCGCCAGGCGAGUGGAAAAGUACCAGGCGAGCGAGGGGCGGGGGCGCGGAGAGGGGCGGAAAAGUACCGACGGCGGGGCCGCGAGAACAAAGAUGCGCCGCCGCGGCGCCCCUCCAGCCGCCCCGGCGCCGAGCCCGGUCCCCCCCGCCCCAGCCGGGGCUUGUUUACAGGGCACACGCCGAGCCCUCCCGCGGCCG
rnacentral:lncRNA from 1 species